rfam:Capsicum annuum cultivar Zunla-1 chromosome 12, whole genome shotgun sequence
UGCAAUUAAUGAUGUUUUUUCCAUAAUUACUGAUUGAACAGUGAUUAAUACAAAAAUAUCACCAUCUUUCGUUUGAGAUUGCA